rnacentral:tRNA from 1 species
GCGGGUGUGGCGCAAUUGGUAGACGCAGGAUUCUCGCAAGAUCCGGGGCGCAAGCCCAUGUGGGUUCGAAUCCCACCACCCGCA